GGUAACACGUGGGCAACCUGCCCCCCGCACCGGGAUAGCCUCGGGAAACCGUGGGUAAUACCGGAUACUCCGCCACCCCCGCAGUGGGGGAGGCGGGAAAGCGUACACGGCGGGGAUGGGCCCGCGGCCUGUUAGCUCGUUGGCGGGGUAACGGCCCACCAAGGCGAUUAUGGGUAGCCGGGUUGAGAGACCGACCGGCCAGAUUGGGACUGAGACACGGCCCAGACUCCUACGGGAGGCAGCAGUGGGGAAUCUUGCACAAUGGGCGAAAGCCUGAUGCAGCGACGCCGCGUGCGGGAUGAAGGCCCUCGGGUUGUAAACCGCUUCCAGCAGGGACGAGGCGCAAGUGACGGUACCUGCAGAAGAAGCCCCGGCUAACUACGUGCCAGCCGCCGC
rnacentral:rRNA from 1 species